rnacentral:rRNA from 1 species
UACGUAGGGGGCAAGCGUUGUCCGGAUUUAUUGGGCGUAAAGAGCGUGUAGGCGGCCAGACAGGUCUGCUGUGAAAACUCGAGGCUCAACCUCGAGACGCCGGUGGAAACCGUCUGGCUAGAGUCCGGAAGAGGAGAGUGGAAUUCCUGGUGUAGCGGUGAAAUGCGCAGAUAUCAGGAAGAACACCCGUGGCGAAGGCGGGUCUCUGGGCCGAUACUGACGCUGAGGAGCGAAAGCGUGGGGAGCGAACAGG